rnacentral:rRNA from 2 species
UGGGGAAUUUUGGACAAUGGGCGAAAGCCUGAUCCAGCAAUGCCGCGUGUGUGAAGAAGGCCUUCGGGUUGUAAAGCACUUUUGUCCGGAAAGAAAUGGCUCUGGUUAAUACCUGGGGUCGAUGACGGUACCGGAAGAAUAAGGACCGGCUAACUACGUGCCAGCAGCCGCGGUAAUACGUAGGGUCCAAGCGUUAAUCGGAAUUACUGGGCGUAAAGCGUGCGCAGGCGGUUGUGCAAGACCGAUGUGAAAUCCCCGAGCUUAACUUGGGAAUUGCAUUGGUGACUGCACGGCUAGAGUGUGUCAGAGGGGGGUAGAAUUCCACGUGUAGCAGUGAAAUGCGUAGAGAUGUGGAGGAAUACCGAUGGCGAAGGCAGCCCCCUGGGAUAACACUGACGCUCAUGCACGAAAGCGUGGGGAGCAAACAG